CUGGAGACACACGAGACCUGAAGCUGGAAUGACACACUCGGCAGAUUGGAGACACACGGAACUGGGAGCUGGAGCGACACUCUCUGGAGACUGGGGAAGACAGGAGCUGGGAACGAGGUUCGGGAUACUAUCAGUGUCUCCUGACUGUCUCCCAGGCUGGGGCUAAAUGUCAGAGUUGGAGGAUGAGACAGACAGGGAGCUGGAGCAGAGCACGUCAAACUCACUGAGGUUCCCUCCUUCCUCUCCAGUGUGGACGGAGUCAGAGUCGGUCUGGGAGGAUCAUCUGGUGGGAAGGAGCAGGGGAUGGUCACACAGGAUCCUUUCAGAACCUCUAUAGUUUUCGGCACAGUGACCGUAAACUCUCCACACAGGGCACCUGAAACACAAGAAGCAAAUCUUUGAAUAAGAACAAGUAAAUACUACUUCACAGUGAUGAGGAAAUGUUACUGUUUUGUUUCCUUGGUAAAAUCUUACCACUAUGUUUAUUUAUAAAUUAAUCUAAAAAGGACAACUGUAAAGAUUUUGUUUCCACAGUGUUUUCCUUUUUAGAAAAAUGGAAAGUUCACAAAUGCAAACAUUUUUGUAGUUCACUGUGUCCUUCAUUUGCUCCAGCAUGUAUUAUACAGCACUAUACUGUUGUACUGUGAUUGCUUGACUAACAUUGCGUAGUUAUAGUUUUUAUUAUUGAUCCAAAUGUGAAUGAACGUCAACUCACUUUGCAGCA